UACGUAGGGGGCAAGCGUUGUCCGGAUUUAUUGGGCGUAAAAGGCUUGUAGGUGGCCACGCCAGGUCGGAUGGGAAAUCUCCCGGCUCAACUGGGAGGGGUCAUUCGAUACUGGCGGGCUCGAGGCCGGUAGGGGGAAGUGGAAUUCCCGGUGUAGUGGUGGAAUGCGUAGAUAUCGGGAGGAACACCAGUGGCGAAGGCGGCUUCCUGGACCGGUUCUGACACUGAGGAGCGAAAGCGUGGGGAGCGAUCCGG
rnacentral:rRNA from 1 species